CAAAUGAAUUUAUGGUAGCUUAAGUCCUCAGCCCUAAUGCAAACUGAUCUAAUGUACAUAUUGUAUAUAUUUUUUGAAUAUUCCAUUUUAUGGAAUUAUUGUGAUUUACCACUAACAAAUAAAAUGUCUUUUUUUUUUGUAGCUUUGUUUUAUUGUAAUAUAAUUUUUGUAUUACAGAUGUUUAACAUAAAACAAGCAUUUUUUUUAUGGUAUGGUGGGUGGUAAUGGUAAUGAUGGAGGAAGACGUGGUCGAGGUGGUGACACCAUCAAAGUAGUGAAGCCUUCUUCACAUAGAUUACAUUUAAAAUAUAGCUCAGUUAUGGCUUGUCUAUCAUUUUAUGCUUUCCGUGUAUUAAGCUUCCUAAAAUUGGGACUGUGAAUUGCAACAUUUUUAACUGUAUAUGUUAAUCCAGGAGCUUCAAUAAAUGGCGUUAUUUGUGCCAUAUGAAGGACCAUACAAUAAAUCAAUGUCCUCACAAAGGUAAUACUUUUAUAUUUAUUUUUGUAACAAUUCAAUAAACUUGUUAUACAGAGUGAUUCGUUUAUCAUGACC